CAUGCCGUGCAUUCACAUACCGUAUAUUGAUUUACAGUACUGUAUAUGCGAGAGCAAGCCUAAGAGCUUGCCGCAUUCAGUGAAGACUUGAAUAAUGCUCGAUUUCUGGCUUCCUUAAGGCUACUGCUCCCAGUUUAUUGUAUUGUAUCUGGUGCUGUUCGAUGAUAGUCCGGUGCCGUGGACGUCCAGGAUGACGAUGGUGCAUUUUGUCGUGGACUUAUUGUGGAUUUAGACUCCCAAUGCAACUUCCUUAUUGACUUGGAUUUUCUCGAACAACACGCAGACUGCUUACCGUUUGACAGACGCUUCGAGAACAUCGCUUCUUGUUUCAUAGCCACCGGAGAUGCAGUACAAAGCCUUCCGAGGACAGCGCAUGGUACACUCAAUUUACAAGAUCGCUUAUAUGCUGUUCUUUGGACAGUUUUUGAUGCACACUGAUCUCGCCAUUUCUUAAUUGGUCCUUAUCUUGUGGCACCGAGUUCGACUACCACAUUCCUUUUCUAAGCGACGGGAAAAUACUGGUGCCAGCUUCCAGUUUGACACAAUUGCCAAUGCCAUAGUCAGCGUAACUGCAUCAUUCCCGAUCCUCUUCAUAAGCCAAAUCGUAUCACUUAACUUGGCCUGACUCUGCGUGGUGCAACGUUUUCUAUAGUAAUAUAACUAACGAUGUCGCCAAAGUGCCGAUACGCCAUUGCACAGGAGCACGUGCCGGUCUCCCUGCUUCAAGAGGCCAUUGACAACAUGGCACAACUGAAGGCUCAGCUGAAUCUGCUGCAAAAGCAGUUCCAGCAGCUGCAGGCUCAGCAGAAUCAGCUGUUGCAGAAACAGAACCAGCAACUGCAGGCCCAGAAUCAGCAGCUGCCAUCCCUUAAGGAAAAGACAAGAUGCUUUUGCAAUUUAACAAGUGCCUGCGGGAAGACAUCGGUCAGCUCCGGAUAAGGAACGCCAGAUUGAAGGCGACCGUCGACGCCCAAGGGACCACCAUCACUGCCCUACAGUCCACGAUUGCCAACCACCAGGCCAGAAUCGUCAGCCUGGAGGCUGCUGUUGGCGCUCUGGGGACCACCAUCAGUGCCCAACGGUCCACCAUCGCCAACCACCAAGCCCGGAUCGUCGACCUGGAGGCAAACAUAAGCACGCAAGGGACCGCCAUCACCACCCAGCAGGCGACCAUCGAUAAGCUGGCGGUGGCAGUGAAGGCCAUGCAGCAGGAUCUGGCUAUUAUGCGAGCAGAUCAGUGAUAUAUUUUCACAAGCAAAGUUUUUUCAACUGAUAAAAGAUGGUUUCUGAAAAUUUCGUUGUCUUAAGGAAUACUUUCGUGACCACUUAACGAGGACGAAUAGAAGUACUUCCAGUAUGCAGUGGCUGAUAGAUGCGAAAAACCGAAAUACAGAUAUAUCAGACACUAUCUUUGUCUUGGCUUGUUUGCUUCCGGUAGUAUGACAUACAGUAAUAUGCAGGAAAAUGAGCGUUAAACUCCUUUGCACGAGUACAAAUGUAAUGGCGUUACAUUCUUUGCUGGUGUUAUACAUUCUUUGUGGCAUGAAGCCCAGUGACGACGGCAUUUUGUAGGCGGUGAGGAAUCUCCCGUCUGCGACGGGUCACCAUGUACCCCGGCUAGCCGCCGUCAUCCUUGGCGGGCCAUCGUCGGAGAUUCUGCUGGGUAUUUUUAUGUUUGGUGUGUGGCUAUGACGACGAAGUUGAAGUGCGUUUCCCCACUCUAGCGACUGCCGCAGUUAGUCAUAGAGUGCGUUGUCACGGUCCGGCUUCCGCACAGCAGGCCAGUUUCUAGAAAGCGCAUGCUUGUCAAUAAACUAGUUUCGUUUCGUAAAUCAGCACCAAGACUGUUGGUUCUGGUUUGCUGGGAUGUUGUACAUCGUGACCUUUCACUCGUACAUUUACGCAGUACAAAUUUUGCGACAGAAUGUAUGUCUGCGCGUAGACGGUUUUAGCCAAAGCGAAACGACAAAAUUGAAAG